AGCGAACGCUGGCGGCAGGCCUAACACAUGCAAGUCGAACGAACCUUUCGGGGUUAGUGGCGGACGGGUGAGUAACACGUGGGAACGUGCCUUUAGGUUCGGAAUAACUCAGGGAAACUUGUGCUAAUACCGAAUGUGCCCUUCGGGGGAAAGAUUAAUCGCCUUUAGAGCGGCCCGCGUCUGAUUAGCUAGUUGGUUGAGGUAAUGGCUCACCAAGGCGACGAUCAGUAGCUGGUCUGAGUGGAUGAUCAGCCACAUUGGGACUGAGACACGGCCCAAACUCCUACGGGAGGCAGCAGUGGGGAAUCUUGCGCAAUGGGCGAAAGCCUGACGCAGCCAUGCCGCGUGAAUGAUGAAGGUCUUAGGAUUGUAAAAUUCUUUCACCGGGGACGAUAAUGACGGUACCCGGAGAAGAAGCCCCGGCUAACUUCGUG
rnacentral:rRNA from 1 species